GAUGAACGCUGGCGGCGUGCCUAAUACAUGCAAGUCGAGCGAACAGACGAGGAGCUUGCUCCUCUGACGUUAGCGGCGGACGGGUGAGUAACACGUGGAUAACCUACCUAUAAGACUGGGAUAACUUCGGGAAACCGGAGCUAAUACCGGAUAAUAUAUUGAACCGCAUGGUUCAAUAGUGAAAGACGGUUUUGCUGUCACUUAUAGAUGGAUUCGCGCCGCAUUAGCUAGUUGGUAAGGUAACGGCUUACCAAGGCAACGAUGCGUAGCCGACCUGAGAGGGUGAUCGGCCACACUGGAACUGAGACACGGUCCAGACUCCUACGGGAGGCAGCAGUAGGGAAUCUUCCGCAAUGGGCGAAAGCUUGACGGAGCAACGCCGCGUGAGUGAUGAAGGUCUUCGGAUCGUAAAACUCUGUUAUUAGGGAAGAACAAAUGUAUAAGUAACUAUGCACGUCUUGACGGUACCUAAUCAGAAAGCCACGGCUAACUACGUG
rnacentral:rRNA from 1 species